UGGUGAUGAAAAUUCUGAUGAGGUAGCAUAUAAAAUUACUCUUUCAAUCUAUUUAUUUUUCUUUUGAGUUUUAAACACUGAAUUUUGUACUUUUUUAUAUGAUAUCAUAUAUUAUGAUCCUUUAGGAUACUCAAGAGGUAGCUGACGUUAAAGACGUUAACCUUUCAGACUCUUCUCAGGUGUCUGGUGAACGAACUUCAAGGGAUGUUGUCUCUGUUACGGCCGACUCUUCAGUCCGGAUGGCUCAAGAUGCUGAUGUUACCAACGUUGGUGAGCUAUCCACUAAUGUGA
rnacentral:lncRNA from 1 species